rnacentral:lncRNA from 1 species
CGGGGCCAGACCGUGUGGUGCAGGGCCUUGUGGGCCCAGGCCGUUUCCUGAGACAGGCACCGGCGCUGGGCCAGGUUGGUGAGGAAGGUCAGAAAAUCAGUUGUGAAUGUGUUGAGUUCUGGGGGCUGCAAGACCACCAAGCAGAAACAGCACAUGGGCAGUUGUACAUAUUCGGUUUGGGACUCAAAGGAGGGACUGUGACCACGGACGGAUUUGGGAGUCUCCGGGUGUAGGAGGGAGAUGCCCACCUGAGAAAGCAAGCUGAAUAUACAGAAGAGACAAUCCAGCAGGAAUGUUCCUGAACUAGUGGCAGGAGAGGAGACUCAAAAAAGAAAACAAAACUGGGUAGGAAUCAGGCGCUCCUCGUAUGCCAUCUCUAGCUGGCAGACGGACCCCCUGUGAGGACCCGUGUUGCUGUUGAGAAGAUCGUGGAUCCGUUCCAGCAAGUCACCAGAACUGGAAUUCAGCAGAAUUGAUUCCUGAUACUACCACUUCCUUCCUUCUCAAAAUUUUUUUAACUCGGGGGAAGUCCAGUCCAAAAUAGUAGUUCCCAUUUAUUGAGGACUUGUCCUGUACCGGUCUGUGCCAAUUAAGCAUAUUGUACACAGUUAGUCCUCAACUCUGCAAGGUAGAUGUUGCUGCUUUUUCUAGAGCUGGGGUUUCUCGACCUCAUCUCUUCACGUUUGGGGCUGGAUAGUCCUUUGUACGGGGGUGGGGGUGGGGUUGCUGUCCUCUAUGCACUGUCGGCUAUUUAGCUGCACCCUGGGCCUCCACCCCAUAGAUGCCAGUAGCAGCACCCCCUCCUCCCCAGUUGUGACAGCCGAAAAUGUCACCAGACAUUGCCAGAUGACCCUGGGGAGAGCCAAAUCGCUCCACUUGGGAACCGUGGCUCCAGAGCUGGGGAACAGAAGCCACCGCUUGCCUGAGGUCACAAAGCUGGCACACUGAGCCAGCCAGGAUCUGAAUACCAGGUCCUUUUUACCCCCAGAACCCCCAAUACAUAGUUGUAUAUUCUUAGUUGUGGGUCCUUCCACUUGUGGCAUGUGGGACGCCGCCUCAGCAUGGCCUGAUGAGUAGUGCCAUGUCCGCACCCAGGAUUCGAACG